rnacentral:lncRNA from 13 species
CUCUUUUUUGGUUCCAUAUGAAUUUUAAAAUAGUUUCUUCUAAUUCCGUGACUAAUGUCAAUGGUACUUUACUGGGACUAGCAUUGAAUCUAUAAAUUACUUUGAACAGUAUGGUCAUUUUCAUGAUACCGGUUCUUCCUAUCCAUGAACAUGGAAUGGUUUUCCAUUUGUUUGUGUCAUCUCUGAUUUCCUUAACCAGUGGUUUGUAGUUCUUGAAUAGGUCCUUCACUUCGUUAGCUGUAUUUCUAGGAUUUCUAGGCAUUUUAUUCUUUUCGUAGCAAUUGUGAAUGGAAGUUCAUUCACUGUGGAAGACAAUGUGGUGAUUCCUCAAAUAUUUAGAACUGACUAUACCAUUCAACCCAGCAGUCCCAUUACUAGGAAGCUGAGAAAAGCAGAAACCUGGGAAUUAUGGAUUCAGUAUUAUAAAUGGUUUGGUGGCAUUGGCAUAUGAGGAUAAUCGGAUCUUGUGUUAUUGGGUAGUCUGGCAUGGAGAAAGAAAAAAAUCCACUGAAUAUCAUGCAAUUAGGAGAAGUGCCAUUAGGCAAGGGGUUGAUGGAUUGGCUGGAGAAAGCUGGAAGCUUGAAAUGACUCUCUACAAGGUGAUCAAGAACACAGCACCUGGAUGAAGGGAGGAGCAGGAGAAAAGGUGGCGACAGUAAGCAAGGAGGUGAGUUAAUGCUUUAGAACUGUCAGACUAUUCAAUAUGAGAAUCAAUGUCAUCAGCUGAAAGAAGCCAAGGGGAGCAGGAU